CGCAUCUGUGCAUGCAGCAUAUCAAUAAGCGGAGGAAAAGAAACUAACAAGGAUUCCCUAGUAACGGCGAGUGAAGCGGGAAGAGCUCAAAUUUGAAAUCUUCAGGGUUUUACCUUGACGAAUUGUAGUUUAAAGAAGUGUUUUCUGCUGAAGUUUUGGUAAAAGUUCUUUGGAAUAGGACAUCAUAGAGGGUGAGAAUCCCGUAUUUGACCAUUAUUUUCAGCUUUGUGAUACACUUUCAAAGAGUCGGAUUGUUUGGGAAUGCAGCCCAAAAUGGGUGGUAAAUUUCAUCUAAAGCUAAAUAUUGGCGAGAGACCGAUAGCGAACAAGUACCGUGAGGGAAAGAUGAAAAGAACUUUGAAAAGAGAGUUAAACAGUACGUGAAAUUGUCAAAAGGGAAGCGUUUGACACCAGUGUUGUUUUCUCGAAAAUCAAUUAAAAAUGGCUCGAUUUUGUAUUGCUGAGACCUUAAAAGCUCACUGUACAUUUUUCGUGUCUUUUUUAAUGCACUUUUCGUUUAACAAGUCAACAUCAGUUUCUUUUGUUGUAAAAGGGUCAUUGGAAGGUGGCUUUCUUUUCGGAGAAAGUGUAUAUAGCCUUUGGCCUCUGCAAUCGAAGAGACUGAGGUCUGCAGCGUAGACUCUUCGGGGUUAGAUACAUUUGUGCUAGUUAUAGCUUUUUAUAGACAACUUGUUGACUAUAAUUAGUCUUGUAGCUUACUCGCUUAUGCUAUUUUACCUACGCUUAGGAUGUUGAUAGUCACAGCGUGUAC
rnacentral:rRNA from 1 species